rnacentral:misc_RNA from 1 species
AACGCAUCUUGCGCUUCCUUGGAAGCAUGCCUGUUUGAGUAUCACUUAAAUUCUCACCAACCAAGGGCUUUUAAGCUGUUGGAUGGUGGACUUGAAACUCUGACCAUUGCAAUAGCAAUUCAGUGUUUUGAAAAUCAAGAGAAAUUGGCAUAUGGCUUGUUUCCAUUUGCCUCCGAAAUCGACAUUCCGUUUGUUGACUUCGGUGCACUAAGGCUUCAAGGAAACCUUGUCAAAUCAUUAACGAACCUUGAUUGUAUUUUGCAACCUUGACGUUGGUAGAGAUGACACAGGGACAAUUUCCUAGCCUUAAGAACUUUUGGUCUCAAAUCAGGCAAGAGGACCCGCUGAACUUAA